rnacentral:rRNA from 1 species
GACGAACGCUGGCGGCGUGCUUAACACAUGCAAGUCGAACGGACAGGCCCUGCUCUUGUGCGGUGGUCGAGUGGCGAACGGGUGAGUAACACGUGAGUAACCUGUCCCUGACUGUGGGAUAACUUCAGGAAACAGGGGCUCAUAUCGGAUAGGAGCUCCUGCCGCAGGGUGGGGGUUGGAAAGUUUCGGCGGUUGGGGAGGGAAUCGCGGCUUAUCAGCUUGGUGGGGGGGUAGUGGCAUACCAAGGCUAUGAGGGGUAGGCGACCUGACAGGCGAACCGGACCCAUUACGCCUGAGAUAAGGCACAGCCUGGACUCGGAGGCAAGGGUGGAGAGUAUUACACAGUACGGGGGAGGCAGACGUGGUGGCGCCGCGUGCGGGAAGACGGGAUUCGGGUUGUGAACCAAUGUCGACUUUGACGAGGCGUGAGUGACGGUACCGGAUAAAGAAGCCCCGGCUAACUACGUG